rnacentral:lncRNA from 10 species
CUGCCUCAGCCUCCCAAAGUGCUGGGAUUACAGGCGUGAGCCACCACACCUGGCUGCAGGUCUGCUUUUAAGACAAAGCAAACAUAUAAAAGAAAGAUACGGCCAAAAGACAGUGGAGAGCAUAAUCCCUAUCCCAGAUCCUUCAGUAUUCACAGCAUUCAUAUUUCUCAGAAAAAAAAUGCAGCUUUCUAAAUGACCAACUCUUUUGAUGAGCUACUCCUUCUUAAAUAUGCAACAGGCAACAUCUCAAGGUUAAACUAUGAAUUCCUACCAAAAAAGGAAAAAAAACUCUUUAAAAAUUUUGAUUACUAAAAAUAUCUCGAUACUUACCAAAUCAUUCUCCCACAGUUUCACUGAGUUGACUGGUACUGAUUUCCCUCUUUUUCUCAUAGUGUGCAUCCAAUCCAUUUAGCAAAUUCCAUUGGUCACAAUGUAUCACUUCUUAUCACCUCUACCACUUGUCCAUCUAAUCCAAGCCACCACUUUCUACAGUCAGAAAUACUGAAAGAACCUGCUGUUAUCCCUAUCAUUAGUCAAGCUCCAGAGGGUUUUCUUUAUACAAAAGCCAGAGUAAUUUUAUUUUUAGAGACAGGAUCUCACUAUGUUGCCCAGGCUGACUUCUAACUUCCAGGCUCAAGCAAUCCUCCCACCUCAGCCUCCUCAAUAGCUGGGGACUACAGGCAUG